rnacentral:lncRNA from 1 species
GAGGAAUAAAAAAAGAAAACGAUUGGCAGUUUUUUAAAGGUGGCUUACUAUUUUUUUUCUUUUGAUUAUUUUUUACUUAUUUACGAUUUUAAAAAAAGGGAGAAGGUGAUACCACUGCGAAUUUUAUUUAUUUUAUUUAGCCCAUCCGCCUUUUAAUGUUUUUGUAAUUAAGUUUUUUUUUAUUUUUUAAUUUACCCUUUUAUUUAUUUUUAUUUCAAUUUGGUCUAAUUUGAACGGCG